AGAGAUAUGGAGAGCAAGAACUCCCUUGAUUCAAUCCAUCACAAAUUCUCCUAAAUCAAGAUCAGUUAGAUGAUGAAGCUUGGCAUGAAUGAGGAUUCCUUAUCACCUCAACCUAAUAAACAUGUGUGACAUGUAAGGAUAAGCAUCAUGUCAAGGACGCAAGCACGAAAGGCUAACGGGUCAAUAGGAGGCGAGGAAGCGAUCACGAAUACGGACGCUUAAGGACCUUAGGUAUACUUGGAGCUUGCACUAGAGGAGAAGCGGGUCGUUGUGGACAAGGAUUUAUGAAUGCUUACUAAACACUUAUGAUAUUACAAACAUUAAUACUUGUGAUGGGUUUUACAUUAAUGCUUCCGCUACACUUAAUUAUGUUGGUUUGUGAUAAACACCUUCGUAUUGAUGGAUAUUUAUUUCUAUUUA